UACAGAGGGGGCAAGCGUUGUUCGGAAUUACUGGGCGUAAAGGGCGCGUAGGCGGCCUUCUAAGUCGAACGUGAAAUCCCCGGGCUCAACCCGGGAACUGCGUCCGAUACUGGAAGGCUUGAAUCCGGGAGAGGGAUGUGGAAUUCCAGGUGUAGCGGUGAAAUGCGUAGAUAUCUGGAGGAACACCGGUGGCGAAGGCGACAUCCUGGACC
rnacentral:rRNA from 1 species